GGGUUGUGAGGUUAAGCGACUAAGCGUACACGGUGGAUGCCCUGGCAGUCAGAGGCGAUGAAGGACGUGCUAAUCUGCGAUAAGCGUCGGUAAGGUGAUAUGAACCGUUAUAACCGGCGAUUUCCGAAUGGGGAAACCCAGUGUGAUUCGUCACACUAUCAUUAACUGAAUCCAUAGGUUAAUGAGGCGAACCGGGGGAACUGAAACAUCUAAGUACCCCGAGGAAAAGAAAUCAACCGAGAUUCCCCCAGUAGCGGCGAGCGAACGGGGAGCAGCCCAGAGCCUGAAUCAGUGUGUGUGUUAGUGGAAGCGUCUGGAAAGGCGCGCGAUACAGGGUGACAGCCCCGUACACAAAAAUGCACAUACUGUGAGCUCGAUGAGUAGGGCGGGACACGUGGUAUCCUGUCUGAAUAUGGGGGGACCAUCCUCCAAGGCUAAAUACUCCUGACUGACCGAUAGUGAACCAGUACCGUGAGGGAAAGGCGAAAAGAACCCCGGCGAGGGGAGUGAAAAAGAACCUGAAACCGUGUACGUACAAGCAGUGGGAGCACAGAGCAAUCUGUGUGACUGCGUACCUUUUGUAUAAUGGGUCAGCGACUUAUAUUCUGUAGCAAGGUUAACCGAAUAGGGGAGCCGAAGGGAAACCGAGUCUUAACUGGGCGUUAAGUUGCAGGGUAUAGACCCGAAACCCGGUGAUCUAGCCAUGGGCAGGUUGAAGGUUGGGUAACACUAACUGGAGGACCGAACCGACUAAUGUUGAAAAAUUAGCGGAUGACUUGUGGCUGGGGGUGAAAGGCCAAUCAAACCGGGAGAUAGCUGGUUCUCCCCGAAAGCUAUUUAGGUAGCGCCUCGUGAAUUCAUCUCCGGGGGUAGAGCACUGUUUCGGCAAGGGGGUCAUCCCGACUUACCAACCCGAUGCAAACUGCGAAUACCGGAGAAUGUUAUCACGGGAGACACACGGCGGGUGCUAACGUCCGUCGUGAAGAGGGAAACAACCCAGACCGCCAGCUAAGGUCCCAAAGUCAUGGUUAAGUGGGAAACGAUGUGGGAAGGCCCAGACAGCCAGGAUGUUGGCUUAGAAGCAGCCAUCAUUUAAAGAAAGCGUAAUAGCUCACUGGUCGAGUCGGCCUGCGCGGAAGAUGUAACGGGGCUAAACCAUGCACCGAAGCUGCGGCAGCGACGCUUAUGCGUUGUUGGGUAGGGGAGCGUUCUGUAAGCCUGCGAAGGUGUGCUGUGAGGCAUGCUGGAGGUAUCAGAAGUGCGAAUGCUGACAUAAGUAACGAUAAAGCGGGUGAAAAGCCCGCUCGCCGGAAGACCAAGGGUUCCUGUCCAACGUUAAUCGGGGCAGGGUGAGUCGACCCCUAAGGCGAGGCCGAAAGGCGUAGUCGAUGGGAAACAGGUUAAUAUUCCUGUACUUGGUGUUACUGCGAAGGGGGGACGGAGAAGGCUAUGUUGGCCGGGCGACGGUUGUCCCGGUUUAAGCGUGUAGGCUGGUUUUCCAGGCAAAUCCGGAAAAUCAAGGCUGAGGCGUGAUGACGAGGCACUACGGUGCUGAAGCAACAAAUGCCCUGCUUCCAGGAAAAGCCUCUAAGCAUCAGGUAACAUCAAAUCGUACCCCAAACCGACACAGGUGGUCAGGUAGAGAAUACCAAGGCGCUUGAGAGAACUCGGGUGAAGGAACUAGGCAAAAUGGUGCCGUAACUUCGGGAGAAGGCACGCUGAUAUGUAGGUGAAGCGACUUGCUCGUGGAGCUGAAAUCAGUCGAAGAUACCAGCUGGCUGCAACUGUUUAUUAAAAACACAGCACUGUGCAAACACGAAAGUGGACGUAUACGGUGUGACGCCUGCCCGGUGCCGGAAGGUUAAUUGAUGGGGUCAGCGCAAGCGAAGCUCUUGAUCGAAGCCCCGGUAAACGGCGGCCGUAACUAUAACGGUCCUAAGGUAGCGAAAUUCCUUGUCGGGUAAGUUCCGACCUGCACGAAUGGCGUAAUGAUGGCCAGGCUGUCUCCACCCGAGACUCAGUGAAAUUGAACUCGCUGUGAAGAUGCAGUGUACCCGCGGCAAGACGGAAAGACCCCGUGAACCUUUACUAUAGCUUGACACUGAACAUUGAGCCUUGAUGUGUAGGAUAGGUGGGAGGCUUUGAAGUGUGGACGCCAGUCUGCAUGGAGCCGACCUUGAAAUACCACCCUUUAAUGUUUGAUGUUCUAACGUGGACCCGUGAUCCGGGUUGCGGACAGUGUCUGGUGGGUAGUUUGACUGGGGCGGUCUCCUCCUAAAGAGUAACGGAGGAGCACGAAGGUUGGCUAAUCCUGGUCGGACAUCAGGAGGUUAGUGCAAUGGCAUAAGCCAGCUUGACUGCGAGCGUGACGGCGCGAGCAGGUGCGAAAGCAGGUCAUAGUGAUCCGGUGGUUCUGAAUGGAAGGGCCAUCGCUCAACGGAUAAAAGGUACUCCGGGGAUAACAGGCUGAUACCGCCCAAGAGUUCAUAUCGACGGCGGUGUUUGGCACCUCGAUGUCGGCUCAUCACAUCCUGGGGCUGAAGUAGGUCCCAAGGGUAUGGCUGUUCGCCAUUUAAAGUGGUACGCGAGCUGGGUUUAGAACGUCGUGAGACAGUUCGGUCCCUAUCUGCCGUGGGCGCUGGAGAACUGAGGGGGGCUGCUCCUAGUACGAGAGGACCGGAGUGGACGCAUCACUGGUGUUCGGGUUGUCAUGCCAAUGGCACUGCCCGGUAGCUAAAUGCGGAAGAGAUAAGUGCUGAAAGCAUCUAAGCACGAAACUUGCCCCGAGAUGAGUUCUCCCUGACUCCUUGAGAGUCCUGAAGGAACGUUGAAGACGACGACGUUGAUAGGCCGGGUGUGUAAGCGCAGCGAUGCGUUGAGCUAACCGGUACUAAUGAACCGUGAGGCUUAACCUUACAACGCCGAAGCUGUU
rnacentral:rRNA from 1 species